UGCCAGCAGCCGCGGUAAUACGGGGGGGGCAAGCGUUGUCCGGAAUUAUUGGGCGUAAAGGGCGCGUAGGCGGGCUGAUCAGUCUGUGGUGAAAGUUUGCGGCUUAACCGUAAAAUUGCCUUGGAUACUGUCAGUCUUGAGUUCGGAAGAGGAAAGUGGAAUUCCUGGUGUAGCGGUGAAAUGCGUAGAUAUCAGGAAGAACACCGGUGGCGAAGGCGGCUUUCUGGACCGAUACUGACGCUGAGACGCGAAAGCGUGGGGAGCAAACAGGAUUAGAUA
rnacentral:rRNA from 1 species